rnacentral:rRNA from 1 species
CCUACGGGAGGCAGCAGUGAGGAAUAUUGGUCAAUGGGCGCGAGGCUGAACCAGCCAAGUCGCGUGAGGGAAGACGGUCCUAUGGAUUGUAAACCUCUUUUAUCGGGGAACAAAAGACUCCACGCGUGGCGUUCCGAGAGUACCCGAAGAAAAAGCAUCGGCUAACUCCGUGCCAGCAGCCGCGGUAAUACGGAGGAUGCGAGCGUUAUCCGGAUUUAUUGGGUUUAAAGGGUGCGCAGGCGGAAUAUCAAGUCAGCGGUAAAAUUGAGAGGCUCAACCUCUACGAGCCGUUGAAACUGGGUUUCUUGAGUGAGUGAGAGGUAGGCGGAAUGCGUGGUGUAGCGGUGAAAUGCAUAGAUAUCACGCAGAACUCCGAUUGCGAAGGCAGCAUACCGGCGCUUAACUGACGCUCAUGCACGAAAGUGUGGGGAUCGAACAGGAUUAGAUACCCUAGUAGUC